CAAAGCGUGGUUUACGUCAGAGAAGCUCUGCCAAUUCGGGUAUUCCUCUUCUCCAAUCAUCCUCCUCAUCUCUCUUCUCAUAUCUCUCUUAGAUUAUACUAAUUCACUUUUUAAUGGCUAAUCAGAUUUGAAGGCCGGGAAGUGUUCAUCUAGGCUGCUGCGUUUCUGGUAGGCAAGGAAUGUGAAGUGCGGUGAUAAGCUCAUGUGGUCAUGAUGGAUGUGCAUGUAAGCUACUUUCCAUUUUAUAUUAUUGGAUUUUGAUUUUUGCUCAUGAAAAUUCUGUGAUAUGAUUUUUCCAGCGAAUCUCUUUCUGUUUUUUAAAGCUGGGAUAUCUCAAAAUAUGUUUCAGGCGACGAUCUUUCAGGUCACCAUUGGUGAUAAUCGUCUUCCAAAAUUCCGAGAAAGGGUGGCCUGUUUCUCCAUUGCCUGAUGAUGAAUUACCACUCGCCCCUCCAGAUUCAGACUUGGU
rnacentral:lncRNA from 1 species